GACGAACGCUGGCGGCGUGCUUAACACAUGCAAGUCGAACGGGCCUUGUCCCCUUUUUUUUGGGGGUGGGGUUAGUGGCGAACGGGUGAGUAACACGUGAGUAACCUGCCCCUCACUUCUGGAUAACCGCUUGAAAGGGUGGCUAAUACGGGGUGUUCUGGCCUGCUCGCAUGGGUGGGUUUGGAAAGAUUCGACCGGUUUUGGUUGUUUUGGUGGGGGAUGGGCUCGCGGCCUAUCAGCUUGUUGGUGGGGUGAUGGCCUGCCAAGGCUUUGACGGGUAGCCGGCCUGAGAGGGUGGGCGGUCACACUGGGACUGAGACACGGCCCAGACUCCUACGGGAGGCAGCAGUGGGGAAUAUUGCACAAUGGGCGCAAGCCUGAUGCAGCGACGCCGCGUGAGGGAUGGAGGCCUUCGGGUUGUGAACCUCUUUCGCCAGUGAAGAAGGUCCUGCUCUUUGUGGUGGGGUUGACGGUAGCGGGGUUAAUGAAGCGCCGGCUAACUACGUG
rnacentral:rRNA from 1 species